UGUUCCUGUUUGAAAACAGGCAAGGAAGGAGAUAUAAAAGAACUGGAAAUCAAGGAGAACUGCGUCCAGAAACAUUUUUUGAUGUGGGAGGACACCUGAACACUUUGUAGUGUACUCCCUGUACAGCUGGAAAUGGCAUUUUCGGUGUUGGGCUGUCAGUGCUCAUGUUGCAGAAAAUCCAGCAUUUCAGGCUGGCAGUGCCAUUAAAAGGAGGAGGACCUGUAUACUCUGCCCUUCCAUUUGCUUUCACAAGCAUUUGCAGAGGAUGUAGAGAAUUGGAUCAGUUCCCUCAUCUGCUGUGCCGUGUGCCUGCAUGAGUACUUGUGUUAGCAGAGGGGAGAGGGUGACGUGAGCACGUGGGAACAGUGUCGUGGGACAGCAAGACUGCUUUUUCUGGUUAGGGUAGAGAUUGGCUUGGUAUUUGAACACAAAAAGCACUAUGAACAAAAUAUAUCAUGUGUCUUCUGUCACCAUAUUAAUCUUUAAUAUUAUGAUGCAUUAUAGCACAUAGAUCUCAGAUCUGUAGACCAAAAUUUUGUCAGAAAAUGUACAUUAUUCUUUUCAAAUGAAUUUGCUAAUAAAAUGUUUCAUAAAAGUUCA